GUAGUCAGAUUCGCAUCAAUCCACAUGUAUUGAGGUGGAUUAGAGUGAAACUUGAACUAAAUUCUACCCCAAUCCACUUUAACACACGUGGAUUGAGGUAAAUCUGACA
rfam:Sorghum bicolor cultivar BTx623 chromosome 3, whole genome shotgun sequence.